AAGACCUUGCGCUUUUGGAGCGGCCGAUGUCUGAUUAGCUUGUUGGUGAGGUAAAAGCUUACCAAGGCUUCGAUCAGUAGCUGGUCUGAGAGGACGACCAGCCACACUGGGACUGAGACACGGCCCAGACUCCUACGGGAGGCAGCAGUGGGGAAUUUUGGACAAUGGGGGCAACCCUGAUCCAGCCAUGCCGCGUGAGUGAAGAAGGCCUUCGGGUUGUAAAGCUCUUUCAGCCGGAACGAAACGGUUACGGUUAAUACCCGUGAUUACUGACGGUACCGGAAGAAGAAGCACCGGCUAACUACGUGCCAGCAGCCGCGGUAAUACGUAGGGUGCGAGCGUUAAUCGGAAUUACUGGGCGUAAAGCGUGCGCAGGUGGUUUUGUAAGUCAGAUGUGAAAUCCCCGGGCUUAACCUGGGAACU
rnacentral:rRNA from 1 species